rnacentral:rRNA from 1 species
CAGUAGCCGCGGUAAUACGUAGGGUGCAAGCGUUAAUCGGAAUUACUGGGCGUAAAGCGUGCGCAGGCGGUUAUAUAAGACAGAUGUGAAAUCCCCGGGCUCAACCUGGGAACUGCAUUUGUGACUGUAUAGCUAGAGUACGGCAGAGGGGGAUGGAAUUCCGCGUGUAGCAGUGAAAUGCGUAGAUAUGCGGAGGAACACCGAUGGCGAAGGCAAUCCCCUGGGCCUGUACUGACGCUCAUGCACGAAAGCGUGGGGAGCAAACAGGAUUAGAUCCCGGGUAGUCCCUGUCUCUUAUACA